rnacentral:antisense_RNA from 1 species
UUGACGGUGAAGUCCCACGGCUGCGCGUCGGCACCGAGGAUCCGUUCGCCGAUGAACCGGCCGUCGGUCAUGAUCUCGAGAACGGUCGACUCGUCGUAGGCGCCGGUGCCGAGCUUGUCGGCCUUGCCGUGGGCGAGCACCACCAGCUCUUCGGCCGGCUGACCGGCUUCGGCGAUGACGUCGCCGGGCGCGUACUGCCGUUCGACGAAGGAGUCCGCAAGCACCUGCAGGGCAGCGUCAUCGGAGUACUGGCGCAGAUAGCGCAGCUCACGCAGAUCGGGUGCGAGAACCCGGGCCUGACCCGCGGUGUCGUAGCAGGUGAUCAAGCCGUCACCGACCGUGUAGGUGAGGCGACGGUUGACGCGGUACACACCACCGUCGGCCUGCACCCACGGCAGCAGUUUCAGCAGCCACCGAGAGGUGAUGCCUUGCAUCUGCGGCACGGAUUUGGUGGUGGUUGCCAGGUUUCGCGCGGCCACAGUGCUGAGGCUCAGCUGGGCGGCGGCAAUGG